rnacentral:rRNA from 1 species
CACGUAGGGGGCAAGCGUUGUCCGGAAUCAUUGGGCGUAAAGAGCUCGUAGGCGGCUCAGUAAGUCGGGUGUGAAACCUCCAGGCUCAACCUGGAGACGCCACCCGAUACUGCUGUGGCUAGAGUCCAGUAGGGGAGUGUGGAAUUCCCGGUGUAGCGGUGAAAUGCGCAGAUAUCGGGAGGAACACCAGCGGCGAAGGCGACUUUCUGGUCUGUAACUGACACUGAGGCGCGAAAGCGUGGGGAGCGAACAGG